AACGAACGCUGGCGGCAUGCCUAACACAUGCAAGUCGAACGAGACCUUCGGGUCUAGUGGCGCACGGGUGCGUAACGCGUGGGAAUCUGCCCUUGGGUUCGGAAUAACAGUUGGAAACGACUGCUAAUACCGGAUGAUGACGUAAGUCCAAAGAUUUAUCGCCCAGGGAUGAGCCCGCGUAGGAUUAGCUAGUUGGUGGGGUAAAGGCCUACCAAGGCGACGAUCCUUAGCUGGUCUGAGAGGAUGAUCAGCCACACUGGGACUGAGACACGGCCCAGACUCCUACGGAAGCAGCAGUGGGGAAUAUUGGACAAUGGGCGAAAGCCUGAUCCAGCAAUGCCGCGUGAGUGAUGAAGGCCUUAGGGUUGUAAAGCUCUUUUACCCGGGAUGAUAAUGACAGUACCGGGAGAAUAAGCCCCGGCUAACUCCGUG
rnacentral:rRNA from 1 species